rnacentral:rRNA from 1 species
GACGAACGCUGGCGGCGUGCUUUACACAUGCAAGUCGAGCGAUGAGAUCCCUUCGGGGAAGGAUUAGCGGCGAACGGGUGAGGAACACGUGAGGAAUCUGCCUUCAACACUGGGAUAACUCCGGGAAACCGGGGCUAAUACCGGAUACGAGACCUGCAGGCAUCUGCGGGUCUGUAAAGUUUUUCGGUUGAAGAUGACCUCGCGGCCUAUCAGCUUGUUGAUGAGGUAAUGGCUCACCAAGGCGACGACGGGUAGCCGGCCUGAGAGGGCGACCGGCCACACUGGGACUGAGACACGGCCCAGACUCCUACGGGAGGCAGCAGUGGGGAAUAUUGGGCAAUGGAGGGAACUCUGACCCAGCGACGCCGCGUGCGGGAUGAAGGCCUUCGGGUUGUAAACCGCUUUCAGCAAGGAAGAAGCGAAAGUGACGGUACUUGCAGAAGAAGCACCGGCUAACUAUGUGCCAGCAGCCGCGGUAAUACAUAGGGUGCAAGCGUUGUCCGGAAUUAUUGGGCGUAAAGAGCUCGUAGGUGGUUCGUCACGUCGGAUGUGAAAAUCUGGGGCUUAACCCCAGACCUGCAUUCGAUACGGGCGAGCUAGAGUGUGGUAGGGGAGACUGGAAUUCCUGGUGUAGCGGUGGAAUGCGCAGAUAUCAGGAGGAACACCAAUGGCGAAGGCAGGUCUCUGGGCCAUUACUGACACUGAGGAGCGAAAGCGUGGGGAGCGAACAGGAUUAGAUACCCUGGUAGUCCACGCCGUAAACGGUGGGCACUAGUUGUGGGAACCUUCCACGGUUUCUGCGACGCAGCUAACGCAUUAAGUGCCCCGCCUGGGGAGUACGAUCGCAAGAUUA